AGCAAACACACAACGUUAAGACAACGUUGUGUUUUAGUUGUAUGUUAGUUGUGUUAUUUUACAACGUUGUGACAACGUUGUAACAACGUUGAGAACUAUUCAAAGUAGUGAUUUGAAAUGUAUAGGAGAAAGCCCUAUGCAAGCAAUGUGUGAAUGUACUGAAAAGACCCUAUAAAAAGACACACUGAGUUUUAUCUGAAUCUUGUAAAAUCUACAACGUUAGUACAACGUUGUGCAAACGUUGGGCUACAACGUUGUGUACGUAACAGUGCUGUAACGUUGUCACAACGUUGUUAAGUAACGUUGUCGCAACGUUUUACUCAAGUUUGAAUCACAACGUUGUUAAGGUAACGUUAUAUUAACGUUUUUACAAUGUUGCCAACUUUCAGUGAAAGAGUAGUUAUGAAAGUAUAUUCAAAACUGACAGUUGCCUAGAAAAGCCUGCCUACUAGUGGAGCUACCGAGGUCGCCUGCUCAGCAGCUGUCAACUGCCUCAUACACAAACUGCUUUGCUACUCCCUUAUAUACUAAUUUUUUUCACUCGAUUGUGAAGAAUAAAGCUUUGAGUCCGUAUCCGGGAAAACCUUCGUUGGAAUGGCGUUCAAUGAGGACGUUAACUGUCAUGACCCAUUAUUAGGGUUCAAACCCACGUCUCCGUGGUAAGCAGCCGGCACCUUGUCUCCAACAUCACCACUCCCCUUCUGCCGCAAAACAUUGCCAAUUAUAUAGGUAAUUUGUACAGCAUAUGCUGUAUGCAGGUCUAGAAUUUUCUCCUUUUUUUAUAGAUAUUCUGUAAAUAUAUGUACAAUCCAUAUAAAUCUGAAGUCCAGAAGAUUUUUCAGUAUAAAUUUAUAUAGACUGGUUGUAUGAGAUCUGUUAAAAUUACAAUUUAAAUCAUAACUGCAAGUUAAAAUGAAAUUUUUCACUCAUUACAUUAGCAUGUAGAUCUAGAUUAAAAACAUAGAAAUUAUUUUAUACAGAUGGAUCACUUUAUUUUUUUCACAUUUUCCAAAAAUUCAAAGUUGUCAAUAUUGACAGAAAAUCACACAAAGAAACCUUCAUAUGCAUUCUAAGUUUAACCCUGCAGUUUUGACUAAACUGUAAUUCAGAUAUCGAUACAUGAAUCAAAUACACCAAAUCUUUAAUUAAAUUUAUUGACCGAAAGAUGUUUAAAUUUUCGGAUAGAAUUGAGCUCCUUCUAAAGAGCAGUUCAGCUCAAAGGAGAAAUAUACUGUACAAGUUCCCGAAUAUUACUGCGGAGUGCCAAUUUUUAGAAGAAUAUGCCCCCGGCCCCCCACCCCACCCCCGCCCUAUCAUACCUGGGACCUACGCUUAAGCAAAUUAUGUAUUUAUGAGGGUACAUCAGAAAUACUGAUGACCUGAACUUCAAACUUCUGAAAAAUAAGCUUGUUUCUUGAAAUAAAUUAGGUUAUUUUAGUGUCAAUAUUUUGUUGUUGUUGUUGUUGUUGUUGUUGUAGUAUUUCAUUAUGUAAAGCUGACUUCGUAGCGAUAGGUUCGAAUCUAUAUUUUGCAUUUAUAAUUUCGUUUAUUUUAAUUUAAGUUGUCGAAUAUACUGUAAUAUCAUUGAACUUAAAUAUUUUUUCGUAAAUUUACUUUGAGUAUCUCCUUCUUAAAAAGAAACGUUAAUUCGGAUAUACUGAGACCUGAAUAUCUGCAUGCGCGCCAAUGUUUACAAAAGGAAUGUCCAGUAUUUUUGGUGUAUUUCGAUGAUACUUUUACACAUUAGAACAACUGAAUAAAAUCUCCUUUCAAUUAACUAUCGAUAUAUCUGGUAUUUUACGUAAGACUGAGUCCCAAUAUUAUUGCAAUUUGGUAGCAAAGAUGUUGACACCACAUGUCGUCUGAUGAUGAGUUUUACAGGAUCGAAUAAGGUUUGGUCAUUGUAUUCCCUGAAAGGAACAAAAGGAGAAAAGAAACUGGAAGACCUGCAUGCCUAUCCGCAGGCCAAUGCUGGCUGCAGAUCAAUAUUGAAUGCUCUUAUGAAAACUCCUAAGACAUUAACAAAAAAAGGAAGCUGAGGAUGCUGUUUUUAAAACAUUCCAUUCAAAAAUGGUGGAUUGAAAUUUAAGAAAGGUGUGACGGGUGCGGCUACUGCAGGCAGGGAGGAUUUGACGGUCAGCCAGAGGAUUUGGAGAGAUACUGUAAUGUCUUUAAUGUGGACUUGCGUGUGAUUUAAGUUUUCACAAGGGUUUUAGUGUGUGUGAAAGUAUGUCGGUUUUCAAAAUUGAGCUAUGACAGUUUGCUCAAACUACAUAACUCAAAGAACUUUGAAGCGGUCUUGUUGACGUCAUGAGCUUUUGUUUAAUACCAGUAUUGGUGAUAUAGGCCCAUGAUUAUAUACUGUAGAAAGUGAACAAGUUCACUGCUCGAUACAGAUAAUCAUAUGGCCUGAUCUCUGAAUGAUAUUUAUGAACCAAAAGAAGGCAUAAAAUAAAAACAUACUGUAGUGAUUUAAAUUAUUGAUAUUGUUAAACUAGAUCUGGGCCUGUAUUCAUAAAGGAUCUUAGUAAAAAAAAUUAUCUAUAACUUAAUAUUCUUCAAUUAACUCAAAAACUUUUCACACUUUUUAAAUAUUUCACAGCAUGACUACAAACUUGUAUAUUAUACCAAAGAAAAAUAGAUUGGCAACUUGAAAGGCGUAUAGAGCAAAUCUCGCCAACAUCACAUGGCAACUGAAUGAGAUCUCGUUUUAGUAAGCAUAUUUGAUCACAAUUGAUCGUCAGCAAAUGCUUUGAAAUAAGAAAACUUGAUCGUUGGUGUAUAAUGCUAAUGGUACUUUUUUAAUAAUAUUAUCAGUAUUUUCUACACAGGAAAGCAAUGAAUUUUUGAUUGGAAGUCUGAGAAAUCAACAGUUGUUGUAAAAUGGGCUCGAUUCGGUUUAUUACACGCCAGUGUAACAUUAAAUACUGACCACGUUGAAA
rnacentral:lncRNA from 1 species